UGGGAAUUUGGACAAUGGGCGAAAGCCUGAUCCAGCAAUGCCGCGUGUGUGAAGAAGGCCUUCGGGUUGUAAAGCACUUUUGUCCGGAAAGAAAUCCUUGGCUCUAAUACAGUCGGGGGAUGACGGUACCGGAAGAAUAAGCACCGGCUAACUACGUGCCAGCAGCCGCGGUAAUACGUAGGGUGCAAGCGUUAAUCGGAAUUACUGGGGCGUAAAGCGUGCGCAGGCGGUUUGCUAAGACCGAUGUGAAAUCCCCGGGCUCAACCUGGGAACUGCAUUGGUGACUGGCAGGCUAGAGUAUGGCAGAGGGGGGUAGAAUUCCACGUGUAGCAGUGAAAUGCGUAGAGAUGUGGAGGAAUACCGAUGGCGAAGGCAGCCCCCUGGGCCAAUACUGACGCUCAUGCACGAAAGCGUGGGGAGCAAACAGGAUUAGAUACCCUGGUAGUCCACGCCCUAAACGAUGUCACUAGUUGUUGGGGAUUCAUUUCCUUAGUAACGUAGCUAACGCGUGAAGUUGACCGCCUGGGGAGUACGGUCGCAAGAUUAAAACUCAAA
rnacentral:rRNA from 1 species